UACGGAAGGUGCGAGCGUUAUCCGGAUUUAUUGGGUUUAAAGGGAGCGUAGGCGGAGCGCCAAGUCAGCUGUGAAAUCCUGCGGCUCAACCGUGGGCCUGCAGUUGAAACUGGCGUUCUUGAGUGCACAUGAGGAUGGUGGAAUUCGUGGUGUAGCGGUGAAAUGCUUAGAUAUCACGAAGAACUCCGAUUGCGAAGGCAGCUGUCUGGGGUGCUACUGACGCUGAGGCUCGAAAGUGCGGGUAU
rnacentral:rRNA from 1 species